AACGAACGCUGGCGGCAGGCCUAACACAUGCAAGUCGAACGCCGUAGCAAUACGGAGUGGCAGACGGGUGAGUAACACGUGGGAACGUACCCUUCGGUUCGGAAUAACUCAGGGAAACUUGAGCUAAUACCGGAUACGUCCGAGAGGAGAAAGAUUUAUCGCCGAGGGAUCGGCCCGCGUCUGAUUAGCUUGUUGGUGAGGUAACGGCUCACCAAGGCGACGAUCAGUAGCUGGUCNGAGAGGAUGAUCAGCCACAUUGGGACUGAGACACGGCCCAAACUCCUACGGGAGGCAGCAGUGGGGAAUAUUGGACAAUGGGCGCAAGCCUGAUCCAGCCAUGCCGCGUGAGUGAUGAAGGCCCUAGGGUUGUAAAGCUCUUUUACCCGGGAAGAUAAUGACUGUACCGGGAGAAUAAG
rnacentral:rRNA from 1 species